rnacentral:lncRNA from 9 species
AUGAACCAGACCAGACAGAAUGAAGAGUAUCUUAUUUCAUUGGCACAGAACAAAAGAGUGUCUUUCCUUUCCCAGGGCCUGUGGAGUCUAAGGACUCCAAUGAAAGCAGCCUGGCUGAGCUGUGUCCUGAGGACGGAGUUGCAGCCCGCAGGGGAGAGGAGUCCGCCAAGCAGAAAACAUCAUCACCAAGAGACCUGGCUUCGCACCUGGCUCUUUGCUCUUCAAGAAGAGCUGCCUCUCUUUCUCUGGUCCUAGGCCAAAACAUUCCAGAGAAGGCACAGUCCAGGGCACAGCUCUGGACAAGCAGCCCACCCCUCGCUGGCUGGAGUGAAAGGAGGAGCAGAUCCCAGGAAGACAGACUGAGCAAACAUACCAGAUGCCAUAGACAUCUCUCAUGGCACCAAGCAAGAGGCCAGAUUCUAGGUAUGCAUGGGGGAGGGCAGAAGAGAGAGGGCGGUAGAAGACCUGUCGGGGUGGGGUUGGGGAAGAGUGGGGAAAGGGUCCUUCUGUAGCAUAAGCUUGCUAAUUAGGACAUUCAGUUCUGCUCGCGAUCACAGGUGCCUCAGGCCAUAUAUGUUUCCUGCCAAUUUCCUUUCAACCCCAACUAAUAACUUUUCCUCCAUAAAUUCUGUCUGAUCUAGUGGGCAAAGUAUAAAACCAUUUUCUGUUUAGCUGUGCUUGGUAUAGCGAGAAAGGUUCCCAGAAAGGUUGUUGCCCUCAUCCCUUUGUCUUUAAGUGUCUAUCCAGCACGAACCCUUUCUUAAUAGGCUCCCUACAAAAUGUGGGAGGUAGUAAUAUUCGCCAGCAGUAGCUGCAUCUUUUUACUUAAUAGAAUAUAUCUUCUGGCGGUAAACUCUAGCUGCGAGUGUGAUGGGAGCGUAUUUGCUGUAGAAGCUGGACACAGCGGCAGGGUCUUAGCUUUCCCAGAACGGAUCACCAGCCCGACAAUGGUGCUAACAGGGAUGUGCAGUGGAAAUGACAGGACUUUGGAGCUAGAAAGCCUCGGACUCGAAUCCAGGUUGUAAAAUAAGGACGAUAAUGACUAAGAACUGACUGACUAAGGGCUGCAAUGCGGCAAGUGGUGCACCAUCCAGAUCACCCUUUGUGACUAAGUCAUUUGUUCCCCUAGCUGCUGAGGGUCCUGGGGCUGAUUCUUCACCACUGAGACCCUUCCUAUGAUUUAUUCAAUCAGAAUAAUUUCAAAAUAACUGAAGUCCUUUACUAAUUCUAUUAGGAAUAAGACUUUGGGUUGCAAGUUGCAAAAAACCCUGUUGAGAUUGUUUAGGGAAAGGAAAAGUUUAUCUGUGAAUCCAUAUGGUUGGUGGGGAAGGUUCAUGAAACUGUGAUGUCACGGGGGGGCCGUUCAUGCGUAUGGGAACCAGGGACGCGGUGAAGUCAUCAGGACCUAGACCCUCUCCUCCUCCUUCCUUUAUGCUGACUCCAUUCUCAGAUAGUCUUUAACCACGUGGCAGUGAGAUGGCUGCCAUCUGCAUUAUCUACACUAAGGUUUCAGUCCCACAGCUUAGCAGGUGUGUUGUAUAGGGGUUGAGAGCAUGGACCUGCCCCCUAGAUUGCCCAGGUUCAUUUCUUACCAGCCGUCUGACUAGGGGAAUUAGUUACCCUGUUUGUACCAUAGCCUCCUUAUCAGUCCAGUGGUUGAUGAUAGCCCACCCUUUUCCAUAGGAUGACACGUAUGAAAUGUGUUAAUACUUGUCAAGUGUCUAGAACAGUGAAAAGCAUAUUGUAAACACUACAUAAGAGUUUGUUAAAAUUUUAAAAAUACAUGUCUGAUUAACUUGACCUAGGUCACAGUUCCCACCUCUGAAGUUGUAACUGUGGGCCAGAAGGAAAUGAUGUUCAGGUUCCCCAUCCCAGAAGUGAGGGUGGAGUUGAUUCCACCGAAAUAUAGGGUCUGAGGUGCGAGCUUCCCCACAAGUGUUCAGAUAUCUGUUACCAGAUGAAGGGGGAUAAGUGCUGGACAGAAAAAUAACAAAUGUUGGAGUUCCCAUUGUGGCGCAGUGGUUAACGAAUCCGAC